UACGUAGGGUGCAAGCGUUGUCCGGAAUUAUUGGGCGUAAAGAGCUCGUAGGCGGUCUGUCGCGUCUGCUGUGAAAUCUCAGGGCUUAACCCUGAGCUUGCAGUGGGUACGGGCAGACUAGAGUGCGGUAGGGGGAGACUGGAAUUCCUGGUGUAGCGGUGAAAUGCGCAGAUAUCAGGAGGAACACCGGUGGGCGAAGGCGGGUCUCUGGGCCGUAACUGACGCUGAGGAGCGAAAGCGUGGGUAGCAAACAGG
rnacentral:rRNA from 1 species